rnacentral:rRNA from 1 species
GACGAACGCUGGCGGCGUGCUUAACACAUGCAAGUCGAACGAGUGGCGAACGGGUGAGUAACACGUGGCAACCUACCUUACACAGGGGGAUAGCCGUUGGAAACGACGAUUAAUACCGCAUGGUGUAAGAAGGGCUCGCGUCUGAUUAGCUAGUUGGAAGGGUAAAGGCCUACCAAGGCGACGAUCAGUAGCCGGUCUGAGAGGAUGAUCAGCCACACUGGGACUGAGACACGGCCCAGACUCCUACGGGAGGCAGCAGUGGGGAAUAUGGCACAAUGGGCGCAAGCCUGAUGCAGCCAUGCCGCGUGUAUGAAGAAGGCCCUAGGGUUGUAAAGUACUUUCAGUCGGGAGGCGUUACCGACAGAAGAAGCACCGGCUAACUCCGUGCCAGCAGCCGCGGUAAUU